rnacentral:antisense_RNA from 1 species
UCUUAUGGUGGCCAUGCGCAGGGCGCCCUCGGGCGCGCCGGAUUUUCCAUAUGGGCCGGUCUACCAACCUUCGUAUGGCCACCACCUUU